GCUCCCUGAUUCAGCGGCGGACGGGUGAGUAAUGCCUAGGAAUCUGCCUGGUAGUGGGGGACAACGUUUCGAAAGGAACGCUAAUACCGCAUACGUCCUACGGGAGAAAGCAGGGGACCUUCGGGCCUUGCGCUAUCAGAUGAGCCUAGGUCGGAUUAGCUAGUUGGUGAGGUAAUGGCUCACCAAGGCUGCGAUCCGUAACUGGUCUGAGAGGAUGAUCAGUCACACUGGAACUGAGACACGGUCCAGACUCCUACGGGAGGCAGCAGUGGGGAAUAUUGGACAAUGGGCGAAAGCCUGAUCCAGCCAUGCCGCGUGUGUGAAGAAGGUCUUCGGAUUGUAAAGCACUUUAAGUUGGGAGGAAGGGCAGUAAGUUAAUACCUUGCUGUUUUGACGUUACCGACAGAAUAAGCACCGGCUAACUUCGUGCCAGCAGCCGCGGUAAUACGAAGGGUGCAAGCGUUAAUCGGAAUUACUGGGCGUAAAGCGCGCGUAGGUGGUUUGUUAAGUUGGAAGUGAAAGCCCCGGGCUCAACCUGGGAACUGCUUUCAAAACUGGCAAGCUAGAGUAUGGCAGAGGGUGGUGGAAUUUCCUGUGUAGCGGUGAAAUGCGUAGAUAUAGGAAGGAACACCAGUGGCGAAGGCGACCACCUGGGCUAAUACUGACACUGAGGUGCGAAAGC
rnacentral:rRNA from 2 species